UACGUAGGGGGCAAAGCGUUUGUCCCGGGAUUUAUUGGGCGUAAAGCGCCUCGCAGGUGGUUCAUUGCGUCGUGCGUGAAAGACCCCGGCUCAACUGGGAGGGUCGUGCGAAACGGGUGAACUAGAGGCCAGUAGGGGAUGCGGAAUUCCGGGUGUAGUGGUGGAAUGCGUAGAGAUCCGGAGGAACACCAGCGGCGAAGGCGGCAUCCUGGACUGGUCCUGACACUCAGGAGCGAAAGCGUGGGAGCGAUCCGG
rnacentral:rRNA from 1 species